GGAAGGAUCAUUAAAAGCAAAACAGAAGUUAGAGCGGGCUGGCGGCGCUGGCGAGUUGGGGGAGCUUUUCGGAGCGACCCAGGCCGUCCGCGCGGUCCCAUGCCCUCAUCCUUGAGCGGAGCUCCCGCUCGGUGGAGGGGUCCGCCAACUUUUAACCCUUGAAAUCCGACCUCACGUUGCCUCGGCGGGCUCGCCCGCCGGAGGACGCAACCGAAACUCCUGUCUCAAACAGUGCAGUCUGAGCUUGAUAGCAACGAAUCAAAACUUUCAACAACGGAUCUCUUGGUUCUGGCAUCGAUGAAGAACGCAGCGAAAUGCGAUAAGUAGUGUGAAUUGCAGAAUUCAGUGAAUCAUCGAAUCUUUGAACGCACAUUGCGCCCCUUGGUAUCCCGAGGGGCAUGCCUGUUCGAGCGUCAUUUCACCACUCAAGCCUGGCUUGGUGUUGGGCGCCGUCCCCGCAGCGGACGCGCCUCAAAGCUCUCGUGCGGCGCGGCACCGGCUUCGAGCGUAGCAGAAACCUUUCGCUUUGGAAGCCCGGGGCCCCGCCCGCCGGAACACCCACUCAAGGUUGACCUCGGAUCAGGCAGGGAUACCCGCUGAACUUAAGCAUAUCAAUAAGCGGAGGAAAAGAAACCAACAGGGAUUGCCUCAGUAACGGCGAGUGAAGCGGCAACAGCUCAAAUUUGAAAUCUGGCCCCCUCGGGGCUCGAGUUGUAAUUUGCAGAGGAUGCUUCGGCGUCGGCACCGGUCUAAGUUUCUUGGAACAGAACGUCACGGAGGGUGAGAAUCCCGUAUGUGACCGGCCGCCUUCGCCGUGUGAAGCUCCUUCGACGAGUCGAGUUGUUUGGGAAUGCAGCUCUAAAUGGGAGGUAAAUUUCUUCUAAAGCUAAAUACCGGCCAGAGACCGAUAGCGCACAAGUAGAGUGAUCGAAAGAUGAAAAGCACUUUGGAAAGAGAGUCAAAAAGUACGUGAAAUUGUUGAAAGGGAAGCGCUUGCAACCAGACCUGCCUGCGGUUGCUCAUCCGGGCACCCUGCCCGGUGCACUCUUCCGCGGUCAGGCCAGCAUCAGUUCGGGCGGUCGGAUAAAAGCUUCGGGAAUGUGGCUCCUCUCGGGGAGUGUUAUAGCCCGUCGCGCAAUGCGGCCAGCCUGGACUGAGGUCCGCGCUUCGGCUAGGAUGCUGGCGUAAUGGUUGUAAGCGGCCCGUCUUGAAACACGGACCAAGGAGUCUAACAUCUGUGCGAGUGUUUGGGUGUUAAACCCGUGCGCGUAAUGAAAGUGAACGGAGGCGGGAACCUUCGGGUGCACCGUCGACCGAUCCUGAUGUCUUCGGAUGGAUUUGAGUAAGAGCAUAGCUGUUGGGACCCGAAAGAUGGUGAACUAUGCCUGAAUAGGGUGAAGCCAGAGGAAACUCUGGUGGAGGCUCGCAGCGGUUCUGACGUGCAAAUCGAUCGUCAAAUUUGGGCAUAGGGGCGAAAGACUAAUCGAACUAUCUAGUAGCUGGUUCCUGC
rnacentral:misc_RNA from 1 species